UACGUAGGGUGCGAGCGUUGUCCGGAAUUAUUGGGCGUAAAGAGCUCGUAGGCGGUGUGUCGCGUCGGCCGUGAAAACCUGCAGCUUAACUGUGGGCUUGCGGUCGAUACGGGCAUCACUGGAGUUCGGCAGGGGAGACUGGAAUUCCUGGUGUAGCGGUGAAAUGCGUAGAUAUCGAGGAGGAACACCUGUGGUGUAGACGCU
rnacentral:rRNA from 1 species